GUCCACAAGCCGAGGCUGGACCAGCUGCUGGAAGUCAGAAUCCUGGAGACCUUCAGGGCAGACUCCAGCCAAUCGACGCAGAGCAGCCUGGAGAGAAAACAGAAGAAAUGACACAGGUCACCCUGGGCCCUGCUCAAGAACAUGCUGUCUCAUUUAAUCCCUACUUGGUGCUAAAGGAUCAAGCAGACAUAGGAGAGUCUGUGAAUUUGGAUGAGAAAAAGUUACAA